rnacentral:rRNA from 1 species
GAUGAACGCUAGCGACAGGCUUAACACAUGCAAGUCGAGGGGCAGCAUAGAAGUAGCAAUACUUUGGUGGCGACCGGCGCACGGGUGAGUAACGCGUGUGCAACCUACCUCUCAGAGGGGGAUAAACCGGCGAAAGUCGGACUAAUACUGCAUAAAACAGGGGCACCGCAUGGAGAUAUUUGUUAAAGAUUAAUUGCUGAUAGAUGGGCAUGCUUUCCAUUAGGAAGUUGGUGGGGUAAUGGCUCACCAAGCCAACGAUGGGUAGGGGAACAGAGAGAUCGGUCGCCCACACGGGUACUUGGACACGGACCAGACUCCUACGGGAGGCAGCAGUGAGGAAUAUUGGUCAAUGGGCGAGAGCCUGAACCAGCCAAGUCGCGUGAAGGAAGAAGGAUCUAUGGUUCGUAAACUUCUUUUGCAGGGGAAUAAAGUGGAGGACGUGUCCUCUUUUGUAUGUACCCUAAGAAUAAGGAUCGGCUAACUCCGUGCCAGCAGCCGCCGUAACAC